rnacentral:lncRNA from 1 species
CAUAGCUGUUAAUAAAAAAUUGAAGCUUGCCUUGACUAUGUCUUUAGUGGGGCCAUUAUAAUAUAAAAACUCAUCUUGACAUAUUGGCUGAUAAAAGAGGAGAAUUGCUCUCCUCUCUCCUUUAGUUUAACCAAACUUGCUCUCAUCCUUUCCCUCAAACUUCCAUGUAAAUACAAUGAACAUUUCAAUGAAUAGGCAC